GCCUGGGUGGCUCAGUCAGUUAGGCAUCUGACUUUGGCUCAGGUCAUGAUCUCAUGAUUUGUGGGUUUGAGCCCCACGUCGGGCU
rnacentral:tRNA from 1 species